GAUGAACGCUGGCGGCGUGCCUAAUACAUGCCAGUAGAACGCUGAAGGAGGAGCUUGCUCUUCUGGAUGAGUUGCGAACGGGUGAGUAACGCGUAGGUAACCUGCCUGGUAGCGGGGGAUAACUAUUGGAAACGAUAGCUAAUACCGCAUGACAACAGUUAUUGCAUGAUAACUGUUUAAAAGGGGCAACUGCUCCACUACCAGAUGGACCUGCGUUGUAUUAGCUAGUUGGUGAGGUAACGGCUCACCAAGGCGACGAUACAUAGCCGACCUGAGAGGGUGAUCGGCCACACUGGGACUGAGACACGGCCCAGACUCCUACGGGAGGCAGCAGUAGGGAAUCUUCGGCAAUGGACGGAAGUCUGACCGAGCAACGCCGCGUGAGUGAAGAAGGUUUUCGGAUCGUAGAGCUCUGUUGUAAGAGAAGAACGAGUGUGAGAGUGGAAAGUUCACACUGUGACGGUAUCUUACCAGAAAGGGACGGCUAACUACGUG
rnacentral:rRNA from 1 species